ACAAGCCGCCGCGUAGGUUGGGGUGAGCGAAGCGAUGCCCAACGCAUGGGAUGCCGGAGCGUUGGGCAUCGCUUCGCUCACCCCAACCUACUCGCUGUGUGCA
rnacentral:miRNA from 1 species